GGGGACUGCAGAGAGCCUGGAGCCCUGUCACGUCCCUGCGCUUCCCCCCUUACUGCGUCAGAGUGCGUCAGAGCUGCGAGGGAACCUCACGAUCCGCAUGUGAAACCUGCUGCUUCCCAGAAAGGAGGUGGGGGCCAGAGGAGGCCGGGGACCUGCUGAGGCAGCACAGCCCCUCAGAGCAGGGGCAGGAAGGCAGGUCCCCUGAGUCCCAGGCUGCCUGUCCCGUGCCUGUCCACCCUCACAAGCACUGGCCUGUCACAUCCCAGAGAUGCCAGCCUGCACGUGAUGGUUAAUGCUGAGUAUCAACUUGAUUGGAUCGAAGGAUGCAAAGUAUUGUUCCUGGGUGUGUCUGUGAGGGUGUCGCCAAAGGAGGUUAACAUUUGAGCCAGUGGACUGGGAGAGGCAGACCCACCCUCAGCGUGGGCACCAUCUAAUCAGCUGCCAGCAUGGCUAGAAUAAGGCAGGCAGAAGAACAUGGAAGGACCUGACUUGCUGUCUCCCGGCCUUCAUCUUUCUCCCGUGCUGGAUGCUUCCUGCCCUCGAGCAUCGCACUCCAGGCUCUUCAGCCUUGGGACUCUUGGACCUUCAGCCACAGACUGAAGGCUGGACUGUUCGCUUCCCUACUUCUGAGACUUUGAAACUUGGACUGGCUUCCUUGCUCCUCAGCUUGCAGACGGCCUCUUGUGGGACCUCACCUUAUGAUUGUAAGAAUAAGGCUUUCUAAGAAGAUCAGAUGAUGAGGCUCUGAUGCCCUCUC
rnacentral:lncRNA from 1 species